UUUUGACUAACAAGCUCAUCAAUUGCUUGUGCCACAGCAGCAUGAACGUUUUCAACGUCCUGUAAAGCUAUCGUCCUAAAAUUAUUGAUCAUAAGCAUUUGUAAAGGUUCACGACAAGUAACCAUUGCUAAAUUUCCGGCAAGGGUUUUAGCCAUUUGUCUAGCGGCUAAUAAAAGUCGGGAAGGAUUUGAUUCAGCUGCAAAAUCCUUCUGUAAAAGGCUCUUGGUAGUAAUAGCUGCAAUCCCAACAGAUCGUCGCACUACU